UCAGUGCUGGGAUCGUUACGGUUGAGAGGUCAGUAGGCCACGAUCGCAAUUGUAGGCCUGUCCAGGCAGAACCUGCGCCUGACAGACACGAAUCUAGCUAGUAAAGAGCACCAAAGGUUGCCUUGUAGCCUGCAGACGUUGAAAGGAACUUCGAGAAGGUCGUGACUUGCUGAAGAUUUGGUUGCGCUCAUUUCAUUGCCGAAAAGGCCGGCCGCUACGUUAUUGCUGAGGUGGGCUUGCAUCCACCUCACUGGAUAUGUUCCUCUGGUUGGGUAUAGGCGCGCAAGUAAAUAUUCGGAUCCUGGAUUCUGAUGAUCUGAUCAGUUGUUCGACCGAGCAUCAAUCCUUUGGAGCGGAAGCUGGCGAUUUAUAUCGCCAGCUUCCCAUAUCCCUUACCUGUGCUCCCAAACAUGGCAGGAUGGCAAAGAUCCCUGCAACAGAAGCGGGCAGCGUGCUGUUGAGAUCUUUCUUGUCGACAUUCAGCCCUUUUUCUGCCAUGAUUUAACACUGUACACCUGAACUUGCCUGCUGGCUGCAGCCCGUAGGAUCAACCCAGCAGGGCCUGAACUGGGCCGCUUGGAACUGCAGCUG
rnacentral:lncRNA from 1 species